UCUGGAAUAGGACGAGUACUGUUUUAGCAGGUUCCAUUAUACAUUAAUGUGAAACCACGUCAAUGAGAUUCGUCGAAACAUUAAUAUCGACCUUUGAGCUGAACCUUCCCAGGAAACUGGCUAUUCGCUUUACAAACCGACACACAAUAUGCAGCACUUUAUCAGAACAAGCGUUAGAGAUCCGGGACAGGAAGGUCAUGGUGACCCAUAUGUAACGCCGUAUUACGAGGCGAGAGCGUCCUACAAGGAAGCCAGGUGAUCUCCACGGAGAGCGCUCAAGAGAAGUGAUUACCAUGGUCUGUGGUGGUGAAUCGAAGGUAGAAGACGUCUCCCCAAUUUUCGACGUACAAAAGAAGAUACAGGACUGGGCAUGGGAUCAAUUCGUCAACAAAUCAUCUUUCUUGAGAAAGGUCUUCCUCAGAAGGAAAGAUUUCGAUGUAGAUGUCCCCAUGAACUUUUACCAAUUUGAAGACUUGCCUGCUAGGCUUAUGGACAAGAAAUCUGAGUCCGAAUCAAAGACCCAUUCUGAGUCCGAUUCCAGGCCCAAACCGAAGCAGCUCAAGCAUGGCGACCAGAUUCCCAACACAUCUCUCCUAUCCACUGACUAUCAAAACGACACCAAUAGGGACCAGGUCUACAAGUUCAGGAUGGAACGGGCGAGAACAGCUUCAGUAAACGUCACCUUCCAGACCGGAUUUUCUAUCGGGGGGGUCCGCAAACUUUUCCAUUGGAGUUGCAGAAGCUGGUCUGGAAACACGGCUGGAGAUCUCCAAAACUACCGGUCAAACGUUCGAAGAAACGUUGACGUUUGAAACGACAAGUGAUAUCAACGUUGAAGCCAACAGCUACUGCACUGCACAGGUCGUGUUCACGGAGAAGGAAAUUUGUAAGAAGUUCAAGGUUGAGACGCUGAUGAGGAUGCCGUCGGGAUCUGCCCCCGGUGUUCAUCAGACGAAAGAAGGAUCAGGGGUUGGUUUCGUCCUUUUCCAUUGGUGACCUUCAGCCCAUUUUUGACAAGCAAAUAAGAAAGAAGCAAAUAGACGUUGUGGACGAGACGGAGCCGGGGGGAGGAGUUCAAGAAAUAUGCAUUGAAGAUAACCACGACGGGAAUCAUCGAGGGCAUGAGACUGUCAGGACAAACAGUCAAGCUGCAUUCUGAAGCCAUUGACAAACAAAACCGACCCAAGAAAGAAAGAGACAGUCAUGUUUUAGAAGAGCACGUGUCGCGUCAUGACGCUCUUGUUAAGCUUUAGGGUAAACAUUUCUGAUGCAAUUUUCUAGAUGCAAUUCGCCCAAAUAUUCAAUAUUUACAAUAUUUGCCAAACAUGAUUUGUUUAACGUGAGUGCCUUGUUUUAACGCCGAUUUGAACAGUAAUACAGUUACGUCACGGCGUGUUAGCAUGGUCUGGGAAGAAAGCCUGAAGUGAUGACAGGAAAUGCUGACGAACCUAGAACAAAGCAGGAUUCGAACCCAGGAUAAUUGGCAUCCAGAGUACACAAGGGACGCAACCCUGUAGAGCGAAUUUGCGGUGUCUCCUCACUAUGCACUAGACUGCCUUGUGCUUUUAACCUCAAUUUAUCUUGGAUGAAUUGCGUAUUUCAAUUCUUCCACAAACACUUGCGUCAGUCGGGCAAAUGGUUUAGCUGACAUGUUAGAUGGGUCCAGGAACCAGUAAAUGACCCCUAACUUCGUGAGAAGAUUGUGAUGCAUUUAUGUGUAUUUCGGGUAACAGAGCCCAUUCCUCUACUUACAUCGUUUCACUCAUUAAAUUUUUUUUUA
rnacentral:lncRNA from 1 species